UUUUUAAUGGCAGAUUUAUGCAAAGGUUUUAAGCACCUUAUAUGAUAAUUUUUUUAUUUUUAUCUU
rnacentral:tRNA from 1 species